UCCUGCUGCAUGGUGGGGUUGGAAAGUUUCGGCGGUUGGGGAUGGACUCGCGGCUUAUCAGCUUGUUGGUGGGGUAGUGGCUUACCAAGGCUUUGACGGGUAGCCGGCCUGAGAGGGUGACCGGCCACAUUGGGACUGAGAUACGGCCCAGACUCCUACGGGAGGCAGCAGUGGGGAAUAUUGCACAAUGGGUGGAAGCCUGAUGCAGCAACGCCGUGUGCGGGAUGACGGCCUUCGGGUUGUAAACCGCUUUCGCUCAUGACGAAGCUUUGUGUGACGGUAGUGGGUAAAGAAGCACCGGCUAACUACGUG
rnacentral:rRNA from 1 species